CACACCCAAAGAAGGAGAGUGUCAUGACAGAUCAUAGGAGAGCUUGAAUGCCGUGUCUGUGUGUCUCGUGCUGUGGAGCAGAGGAUCAAAAAGGGCUUGGCCUGGCGUUGGACUGAGAAUGCAAUAAAGACAGAGGAUGGGGGAGUGAUGGACAGAUGGAGAGUACAGGAAGAGUAUAAGAAUAGAUCGAUCAAAUAAAAGAAUGUAAAAAGAACAGAAGGCAGUAAAACAUACUGAGAGGAGGAGCUGGUAUAGGAGAGAGAGAGAGAGAAAGAGAGAGAGAUAAAAAGGUAUUUGCCUGGCUGCCAAAGAAAGAAACCAAAGAUUCUCUAACUACAGAAGAGAAGAAAGAAGAGAGGAGAACAGAAGCCCUGGACUUCUCCUUGCUGUCCUGAUCUGUGGGUGUGUGAUCUCUGCACCAUGCUGGUUCCCAUCAACUUCAUUCUGCUCUUGGCGCUGUCAUGGCACCCUACGGUUGUCACGGGAGGUAGAGCACAGCGGAGACAAAGGCAAGCUGAGGAGUCGUUAAAGCCCUACCAUGGAAGAGUGGAUCCAGAGAAGUUGUGUGAGCUGCUGAAAUGUCACAGUCCAGCAGGAUCCUGGUGUCAGGUGGUGGAAGAGGCAGGGAUUCUCAUCCCAAAGUGUGUGUGUCCUCAGACUUGUCCACGCCAGGGGGUGCCAGUGUGCAGUGUUUUGGGGAAGACGUACGGAAAUGAGUGUCUACUGCAUAAAGAAUCCUGUCGCAAGAGACGUCGCAUUGGUCUCGCUCACCCUGGGACUUGUAUGGUGCCCAAGGCUCAGUGUAAAGAGGAGGAGUUUGGUCAGUUUCCCUACCGGCUGCUGGACUGGUUCUUGCUCUUGAGCCGUAUGGGGGAGAGUUAUGAUCCCAAUGCCCCCUCUCAGAGCUGCCUGAGCCGAACAGCACGCAUCCAGCUCGCCCAGGUGACCCCCUGAAACACACACUCUCAUUCCCUCAUCCAGGUGACCCCCUAAAACACACACUCUCACUCCCUCACAAGGGCAAAGGCAUCCAGCUCGCCCAGGUGACCCCCUGAAACACACACUCUCAUUCCCUCAUCCAGGUGACCCCCUAAAACACACACUCUCACUCCCUCACAAGGGCAAAGGCUGGGCGUGGAUGAACACCAUCAGAUGGCUGAAGCCUCCAUAAUGAUGUAAUAAUAAUAAUAAUGUAUGACACUGUGGUUAAAAACAUAACAGGAGCGUUUAAACCACCAUGUAUUUUCUUUUAUUUAUACUCAGACAAUACCUGAAGUGGAAAAGGUUAAUGUGGAGUUACAGUGAUAUUUUAAUUUAGAUUGAAUUCGAUAAGUGUUGACUAUUAUAAAUGGUGAGACAGAAAUCGAUAGAUGUCAUAGACAGAUCCUAUGGGGCAGAAUGUGGUGUUCAAAGACGUCUCCCUGCUGCAAAGUACUCAUUUUCUCCAAAACAUCCUCGAGUAACGGGACUAUUACACCACUCAACGAUGACGUGCUGGUGUGAAACCACAAUCCCUUCACUGGCCUGACUAGCUAAUGCUGAUGUCAUCACACUGGUAGCUUUGAAGUGAAAACCUUUUGAUCGAUGCGGCUCCCUGAGGUGAUUUUAUUUAAGGAUGACCAGUUCAUGUUUCAGGCUUCCUGUGUUUGUCCUCGUUUCAGAAGCAAAGAUACAAAUAGCAGCAUACAUCACUAAUAAUCAAUAAUCACUAAAUUAUUCAAUGGGAAUAUUUUACACACA
ensembl:lncRNA